rnacentral:rRNA from 1 species
GACGAACGCUGGCGGCGUGCUUAACACAUGCAAGUCGAACGGAAAGGCCCUGCUUUUGUGGGGUGCUCGAGUGGCGAACGGGUGAGUAACACGUGAGUAACCUGCCCUUGACUUUGGGAUAACUUCAGGAAACUGGGGCUAAUACCGGAUAGGAGCUCCUGCUGCAUGGUGGGGGUUGGAAAGUUUCGGCGGUUGGGGAUGGACUCGCGGCUUAUCAGCUUGUUGGUGGGGUAGUGGCUUACCAAGGCUUUGACGGGUAGCCGGCCUGAGAGGGUGACCGGCCACAUUGGGACUGAGAUACGGCCCAGACUCCUACGGGAGGCAGCAGUGGGGAAUAUUGCACAAUGGGCGGAAGCCUGAUGCAGCAACGCCGCGUGCGGGAUGACGGCCUUCGGGUUGUAAACCGCUUUCGCCUGUGACGAAGCGUGAGUGACGGUAAUGGGUAAAGAAGCACCGGCUAACUACGUGCCAGCAGCCGCGGUGAUACGUAGGGUGCGAGCGUUGUCCGGAUUUAUUGGGCGUAAAGGGCUCGUAGGUGGUUGAUCGCGUCGGAAGUGUAAUCUUGGGGCUUAACCCUGAGCGUGCUUUCGAUACGGGUUGACUUGAGGAAGGUAGGGGAGAAUGGAAUUCCUGGUGGAGCGGUGGAAUGCGCAGAUAUCAGGAGGAACACCAGUGGCGAAGGCGGUUCUCUGGGCCUUUCCUGACGCUGAGGAGCGAAAGCGUGGGGAGCGAACAGGCUUAGAUACCCUGGUAGUCCACGCUGUAAACGGUGGGUACUAGGUGUGGGGUCCAUUCCACGGGUUCCGUGCCGUAGCUAACGCUUUAAGUACCCCGCCUGGGGAGUACGGCCGCAAGGCUAAAACUCAAAGGAAUUGACGGGGCCCCGCACAAGCGGCGGAGCAUGCGGAUUAAUUCGAUGCAACGCGUAGAACCUUACCUGGGUUUGACAUGGAUCGGGAGUGCUCAGAGAUGGGUGUGCCUCUUUUGGGGUCGGUUCACAGGUGGUGCAUGGCUGUCGUCAGCUCGUGUCGUGAGAUGUUGGGUUAAGUCCCGCAACGAGCGCAACCCCUGUUCACUGUUGCCAGCACGUUAUGGUGGGGACUCAGUGGAGACCGCCGGGGUCAACUCGGAGGAAGGUGGGGAUGACGUCAAGUCAUCAUGCCCCUUAUGUCCAGGGCUUCACGCAUGCUACAAUGGCUGGUACAGAGAGUGGCGAGCCUGUGAGGGUGAGCGAAUCUCGGAAAGCCGGUCUCAGUUCGGAUUGGGGUCUGCAACUCGACCUCAUGAAGUCGGAGUCGCUAGUAAUCGCAGAUCAGCAACGCUGCGGUGAAUACGUUCCCGGG